ensembl:lncRNA
GGGGAAGGGGUCCUGUCAUGUUUUUGAAUAAUGUUUUUUUGCACUUUGGACUUUGGCGGCAUCAAGUGGCCGUACAUGUGUUAUUUAAGUAUUUUCUGUUCCCUUGCUUUGCCAAUUAGCCCUGUCACCUGUGUCUUGUUGCUCCGGUCACAUGACCAAUCAAGCCAUGCCUUUAAGCCCUGCUUUUGCCGAUGUUCAGUGCUUAGUCUUUGAUGUGCCACGUUCGUACUCUGACCGAAGCUAGUCUUGUAUUGGAAAUGAUUAUUGAUCCCCUGUGAUUUGACCGCUUGCCUGCCCUCUGGAUUACCCACUUGGAUUUGCCCCUUUGAUCGAUGUGUAGGAGGUUCAGUUCAUGGUAAAGGAGGAGCGCCGCAGCCUGCUGGAUUAUGAAGACAAUGGCAGCACCAAAAUAGAUCAGCAGCACCAGAUAAGAUUAUGUAUUUGAUUUAUUUUCGACCGGAUUCUGCAAGAUUUAGGAGAGCACAGCGCUUCUCUGAGUUUAGUGCACAACAUAAAUGGUCUCACGUGGCUAGGGUCAGACACGGCAGGGGGCUUCACGUCUUGCAUGAUGAGUAAGUGAAGUUUCAUGUUAAUGGCAUAACAUGCCUUAUGGUCAGUCUACUGACCAUGUCUACUGUCUAUUGUGGAAUAUAUAGCUAAAAAUAGCUUUAGUAUAACCAGCAGCCUUUCUAACUUGAGCUUGUUGCUCUAUUUGCUCUUAUUCUGAAGAUACAUAGUUCAUUUAUUUAUUGAGUAUUACUCUGUUAUUAUUUUUGGAUAAUGUGAACAUGUGAUUGGUAAAUAAACCCUCUGACUUGCAGAGAUUGGACCGCUCAGACUGUGAUUACGAUGAAUCUAACGUGGAUUGGUCAAUAGUGGUUGAAGAGCCAACAAUGAUUGUCAAAGCAUCGUGGAAAUCCGUCUAAGGCCGGCCCAUCCCAACCCCAGCCUGGCAGAAAAUGUCAUACUUGAUCUAUUCGACUGGACGUGCACAACACAGACACAUGCACAUCGCACACAGAACAAACACAUGCACCUCAUGCACAGCACACACACACAUGCAGUCUUUCCGGCCGGAAGUUCAGUAAGCAUUAGAAAAACUGGACCAUGUGUUUGUGUGCAUGUGUGUGUCAGGAUGACUGGAUGAGGUGAGGGAGGCUCAUAUGUGUUUUGAGCCAGCGUGACUCAUUUCCUGUGGUAAAUUCACAGCCCAAACACGACAAAUUCUCUCUCUCCCUCUCUGUCUUCCUUUCACUCACAAUAAUUAAGUUGAAAUUAAGCUUGAAGUGAUCUGACUGAACUAAGGGAAGAUAAUGUCUCAUCACUUCUCUGUUCAUAGAAUGAUGCUUUGAGAGCAAGGCACAACCUCAAUGAUGUUCAGAGAUGACUUGUAAAUGACAACCAUAAUACUGUAAU